rnacentral:rRNA from 1 species
GACGAACGCUGGCGGCGUGCUUAACACAUGCAAGUCGAACGGAAAGGCCCUGCUUUUGUGGGGUGCUCGAGUGGCGAACGGGUGAGUAACACGUGAGUAACCUGCCCUUGACUUUGGGAUAACUUCAGGAAACUGGGGCUAAUACCGGAUAGGAGCUCCUGCUGCAUGGUGGGGGUUGGAAAUUUUCGGCGGUUGGGGAUGGACUCGCGGCUUAUCAGCUUGUUGGUGGGGUAGUGGCUUACCAAGGCUUUGACGGGUAGCCGGCCUGAGAGGGUGACCGGCCACAUUGGGACUGAGAUACGGCACAGACUCGUACGGGAGGCAGCGGUGGGGAAUAUUGCACAAUGGGCGGAAGCCUGAUGCAGCAACGCCGCGUGCGGGAUGACGGCCUUCGGGUUGUAAACCGCUUUCGCCUGUGACGAAGCGUGAGUGACGGUAAUGGGUAAAGAAGCACCGGCUAACUACGUG